rnacentral:rRNA from 1 species
AACGAACGCUGGCGGCGUGCCUAACACAUGCAAGUCGAGCGCCCCGCAAGGGGAGCGGCGCACGGGUGAGUAACGCGUGGGAAUAUGCCCUGGGGCUGGGGAUAACGGCGGGAAACUGCCGCUAAUACCCGGUACGCCUUGAGAGGGAAAGGAGCAAUCCGCCCUGGGAGUAGCCCGCGUUGGAUUAGCUAGUUGGUGAGGUAAGAGCUCACCAAGGCGACGAUCCAUAGCUGGUCUGAGAGGAUGAUCAGCCACACUGGGACUGAGACACGGCCCAGACUCCUACGGGAGGCAGCAGUGGGGAAUAUUGGACAAUGGGCGAAAGCCCGAUCCAGCAAUGCCGCGUGAGUGAUGAAGGCCUUAGGGUUGUAAAGCUCUUUUACCCGGGAUGAUAAUGACAGUACCGGGAGAAUAAGCUCCGGCUAACUCCGUGCCAGCAGCCGCGGUAAU